GUCGAAUCCUUGGAGUACCUAAUGUUGUGAUAAUCUCCGAAUAUUCACACUUGCAAACCAAAAUACUCGCGUCACUUUUUAAGAGCAGCGUAAGCUGUCACCGACAUGGGCAGUGAGCACUACUGCUUGAGGUGGAACAAUCAUCAAUCCAACCUGUUAGGGGUGUUUAGUCAAUUACUACAGGACGAGAGUCUGGUGGACGUCACAUUAGCUUGUUCAGAGGGCGCCCUCAUCAAA